CAUGUUGCAAAUCGUCGGUACAACUCUAACAUGCUUUGUUUAGUUCGAAGGGGAUGAAAAUUGUAAAGAUUGCAAAAAUACUUCUUAAUUUAUUUACUUAAGAAUACGAAAGCUUAAGUAUAUAUGUACCAAAAAUUUCGUCCUGCAUUGGUGUCCUUUCCUCUGAUGCUGUAUAAAAAAUCUGAACACAGCAGAUUCUUGUCGAUCUUGAAUUUAAAUAAUAAUCAACCA